GGAGAGGUGGCCGAGUGGUCGAAGGCGGCACCCUGCUAAGGUGUUGUACCGGGCAACCGGUACCGCGGGUUCGAAUCCCGCCCUCUCCG
rnacentral:tRNA from 1 species